rnacentral:lncRNA from 1 species
CUCGGUGCUCUGGGCUCCCACCCAGGCCAGGGGGCGGUGCCUGCCCCAGCCCCUCCCACUUCCCCUGUCUCUGUGUUUCCAUCCCUUUCUUCACUGGAGGCCCUGGCCACAGGCAACCUGCAGACGGGGCUACUGGCAACCCUCCCCCCCCUCCCCGGCUCGGUUGGAGCCCUGCACAGCAGUGGUUAGCUCACAGGCUCCGAGACUGACCAUGUCAGUCGGAUUCGGAUCCUGGCUCUGUAUUCUAGGAACUGUGCAGCUUGGAGCAAGUAACUUGCUACCAUGUCCUCUUCCGGGAAAUGGAGUUUCGCAGAGUGCCUGGCUGGCACACAGACCGUGCCCCACACAGGAAGAAUGAUGCAGGUGAAGCCCACAAUUAAUGCACAGCCCCAGCCACACAGUGUCCCAGAGCUUCAGUUGGUGAGAAGGAACACAAGCCAAGGUCGUACAAGGGGACAGCAAGGGGUUCCACUCUCAUCCCUUCCUACGUCUUGCUGGCCACACCAAGGGAGAGACUGGUUUUCAGUAGCACAGCUGUGGGUGACAGAGGAGGUGUGUCAAUCCUAAUUCACUACUUCCUCUCUAGAGCCCCUGAGAGGAUCCCAGCUCUAAAAUGGACAAUUACAACUGGAGACAGAGGUCAGGAGAUACAGUGCAGCAAGAAACCAGGUUGGGAAAUCUUAGCUCCAAGAAGUAGAAGAGGAGAGUCCAUUGGUUUCUGAGGUAAAGGGGUGCAAGGAAGCCACUGAAGUGGGGAAUUCAGGGGGAAAUGCAGGGAGCAGUGGGU